rnacentral:lncRNA from 1 species
UGCUGAACCAUCAUCUUUGUCUUCUACGUCUUCACCUCUAAUUCUGCUAAUCAGCUCUUUCCCUAACAUUUCACCACCGCCAACAUCAUCUCCCUCCCCCUUUCUCACCACCGCCACAACCAACCCAGCCACCACCACCCCCCUCUGCGAUGGCACCACCGUUACCUCCCCCCCUCUGCUAAUCAGCUCUUUCCCCAACAUUUCACCACCGUCUCUCUGUCAUUUCACCGUCGCCAACAUCAUCUCCUUCCCCCUUCCUCACCACCGCCACAACCAACCCAGCCACAACCAACAUCAUCUUCUCGGUUACCGGAGAGGAAACCUCCGACACCCACAGACCCCGAACCACCCUUCACCUCCACCUUCACGUUGCAGAUCGGAGGAAAGGGAGCCGCCGCACACGGCGGCGGCGCAACGACAGAGAGACGGUAUAGAUUGAGUGCCACGUCAGCAAAUUAUGAGGUGCUUUAUCAGAUUUUUGUCCAACUUAACACUCAGGGUGUCAUUUCUUUGAUCAAUCUGAACGUUAUCAGAAUAAUUACCGAGUUUUGAUGUCAUCAGAAAUCCGUCAAUAAGUUCGCCGCGAAGAACUGUGUCUAUAGCUGCUUGACACACGUGCCAGUUCCCUGUCCAGAGAAGUCCGGCGGCUCCGGUCACCGGAUUCACUGUACGGCCAAAGUUGUCAUACCCUAGUAAUCAGCAACAUAAUAUUCAGGAAGAUGGAAGUUGUCAUCUUUGGCCUAACAUUCUUGUUUGCUCCAAAAAGAACAAAGAUCAAACAAUUGAUACAAAGAAAGUACUAAUAUGUAUAUCACACGAAGUAACAGAACUCUUGAGGAAGAAAGCAAAAGGACCCAAGAAGAGAGCUGUCACGUUGGACAAAAUUGUACAGAUUGAUGGCACCUCAUAAAAAACAGGCUAUGUUAUCAUGCCACGUUGGACAAAAUGGCCACGUCAACAAAAAAAAAAAAAAAAAAAACUAACCCAGUUAGUGUUUAUUUAACGAGGGGGUGACACAGCAACCCAAGUGUUAAGUUGAGAGUGGUGUGAGCCAAAAUCAAAAUUGAGAGUGCCAGCAGCCAAAUGACAAUAGUUAACUACGCAAGAUUUCAAAUCAAGUAAUAUAUAC